CUUUAUUGGAGAGUUUGAUCCUGGCUCAGGAUGAACGCUGGCGGCGUGCCUAAUACAUGCAAGUCGAGCGAACCGAUUAAGAGCUUGCUCUUAAGAAGUUAGCGGCGGACGGGUGAGUAACACGUAGGUAACCUGCCUAUAAGACUGGGAUAACUCCGGGAAACCGGGGCUAAUACCGGAUAACAUUUUGCACCGCAUGGUGCAAAAUUGAAAGGCG
rnacentral:rRNA from 1 species